rnacentral:rRNA from 1 species
UACGUAGGGCGCAAGCGUUGUCCGGAAUUAUUGGGCCUAAAGAGCUCGUAGGCGGCUUGUCACGUCGGAUGUGAAAGCCCGAGGCUUAACCUCGGGUCUGCAUUCGAUACGGGCUAGCUAGAGUGUGGUAGGGGAGAUCGGAAUUCCUGGUGUAGCGGUGAAAUGCGCAGAUAUCAGGAGGAACACCGGUGGCGAAGGCGGAUCUCUGGGCCAUUACUGACGCUGAGGAGCGAAAGCGUGGGGAGCGAACAGG